AAGGUUAUUUAAGACCCUAUUAACAACAACACGGCGCAAAGUAACGCUAAAGCUUUCUCUACGUUGGCUUGUUACCACGCUCUCUACGAACAUUGUAUCUUCAUUGGUUUUGGAACUUCCGCCUCAUUCUCAACUACGAUUCUGGAUUUAUGUUUUGGAUUAUUGUGUUUGCCUCGGACUUUGUGCUCCACGCUUCACGACUCGCUCACCUAUCUGCUUAUCCUCGGCCCGCGCUUGCCUCCUACCAGAAAAAGUCUGUCACUGACUUCAUGAAUCCAGUCACCUUGGAUUAUGCCCAAAGGUGUGAGGACUAAAAGAAACUCACCAAGACUUUGAUGGACUCCAUCUUCACUGUGGAGGAGAUGCGACGUGCUCCGUUUCAGGCAAAAAAAAGGGGAAUUGUCAUGGAGAAAAGAUAGAGCCUUGACCAAGGCAAAGUGAAUCUAGUAAUUGGUAAGCAUGCCAGAAUGUUGUUAGGGACGGGCAUAAUGCUGUUGUAUCAGCUUGUUAACACACACAAAAUGUCACUCUUUUUCAAUUAUUUCAUUGGUAACACUACAAUAAGGUCCCGUUCGUUAACAUUAGUUAAUGCACUAGCUAACAUGAUCUAUAUAGUCUUUACAACAUUUAUUAAUCUUUGUUAAUGUUACUUAAUAAAAAUACAAUUGUUGAUUGUUCAUGUUAGUUCAUAGUGCAUUAACUAAUGUUAGCAGAUACAACUUUUGAUUUUAAGAAUGUAUUAGUAAAUAUGGAAAUGAACGAACUAAGAUGAAUCAAUGUUGUAGAAGUAUUCUUCAUUGGUGGUUUGUUAACUAAUAUUAACAAAUGAAACCUUAUUGUAAAGUGCUACCAUUUCAUUACCUUCCUCAAUGCAAAGUUAGGUCAUAAGCCAUUGUAAAUAAAAUAAUACACUCAUGGAUCAAACAUGGACACCUGUAUUACAGAAUAUGAAUUAAUUAGGUCUCUUUGGCAUCUGAAUCCAAUCUUGUUUGUAAAUUUAGUAGAAGUUCAUUUAAUUUCUUACAGACGAUGUAAAAAAGUUCCCAGAGUUAUCGGAGACACUGAGAUCAAGGCCUGCAUGGCACAAAAAUUAAAAGACACCAGGAGACGAGCAGAAAGGUACAGUAAAUAUCAGAACCUAUAUAUACACUGUGUAUACCAAGAUACUGAUGAUUGCCUAAUUCAUAGAAUCCAGUUUUGGAUGUGUUCUAGGGUUUGCACAGGAUCUGUGCUUGUUUAUAUAUUUGACUUUGAAUGCAUAGACCAGUCAUCAUUUGAAAAUAACAGAAGCAAAUCUGAAAUACAGAUAGAAAAGAAAUGAACCUUUACUUUGACAGAAUAGACUGGUGUUCGUACUGAGCUAAUCUUUCAUUUUGUCUUUCAAACCCAAAACAGGGAGCCUGCUGGAGGAGACGCAGCAGAGGACUGAGACAACACACACGCACAAACACACACAAAUAAACAAAUAAACUCAACUACAAUAAAAAAUAAAAGCUCAAUUUGAA